AUGAGAAAGAGGGGGGCACGCCCCCAACAAUGUAUGCAGGCUUUUAGCAGUUCGCUGAGCGAUUGCGGGCUUGACGAUGUCGGUUAUUCGAGAGACAUUUUCAGCUGGCGUAGAGGCCGAAUUCGGGAGCGACUUGACAGAGCUGUCUCGAGUAGCUCUUGGGCUGAUCUAUUCCCAGCCUAUGGUGUUUCUAAUGAACCGUUUAAUAAAUCAGAUCACCGGUCAAUCCUA
rnacentral:rRNA from 1 species